CAUUUUCAUUGGACAGCUUCUUCGUCGUCAUCUUGAUACAAUGUAGCUAGGUUGGUUCUUCCUACUCUCUUUACAUAGGUAUUAGUUUAAUACAUAGAUAAGUUAGCGAGAUAUUAAUUUAUUAAUAUUUGUACAGUUAAUACUCUAAAUUAGUGCAAACAAAGCAUGCGAAGGGUGACGCUUUUUGUCAACGGAACCUCCAAAAAUGGCAAGGUUGUAGCUGUUUAUGGGACUCUGUCUGAUCUGUUGACAGUCGCCAGCAAUAAAUUGGGAAUCAGGGCUUGUAACCUUUAUAAUGGGAAAGGUGGUCUUAUAGAUGACAUUGCGCUCAUCAGAGAUGAUGAUGUGCUGUAUGUGUCAGAAGGAGACCCUUUCAUUGAUCCUCAGAGUGAUGGGAAAAUGUCAGAUGACAUCUCAGGAUCACACACUGAUUGGCUGACGCUGAAUAUUGGUGGGCGGCUUUUCACAACCACUAGGAGUACUCUUGUGAGUAAGGAGCCUGACAGCAUGCUGGCACACAUGUUCAGAGAGAAGGAUGAAUGGGGUAAUAAGCAGGAUGAACGAGGGGCUUACCUCAUUGAUCGCAGCCCAGAGUACUUUGAGCCCAUCCUGAAUUACCUGAGGCAUGGCCAGAUCAUUGUCAAUGAAGGAAUAAACUUACUCGGAGUGCUGGAAGAAGCUAGAUUCUUUGGAAUAGAGCAACUGGCAGAACAGCUAGAAGUCGCCAUUAAGAAUUCUCAUCCACCUGAAGACCACUCUCCACUCUCACGGAAAGAAUUUGUUCGUUUCCUGCUGGCUACACCAACCAAAUCAGAGCUACGCUGUCAGGGUCUUAAUUUCAGUGGAGCGGAUCUUUCUCGGCUGGAUUUGCGCUAUAUUAAUUUUAAGAUGGCGAAUCUGAGUCGCUGCAAUCUCACCUAUGCAAACCUGUGCUGCUCAAACCUGGAGAGAGCGGACCUUUCUGGAGCCAACCUGGAUGGUGCUAAUCUUCAGGGCGUGAAGAUGCUCUGCUCCAACGCAGAGGGAGCGUCCCUUAAAGGAUGUAACUUUGAGGAUCCCUCUGGGCUCAAGGCCAAUCUAGAGGGAGCUAAUCUGAAGGGAGUUGACAUGGAGGGCAGUCAGAUGACUGGUAUUAAUCUGCGUGUGGCUACGCUGAAGAAUGCUAAGCUGAAGAACUGUAACCUGCGAGGUGCUACAUUAGCCGGCACAGAUCUCGAGCAGACUUAAAGGGACAGUUCACCCAAAAAUGAAAAUUCUGUCAUCAUUUACUCACCUUCAAGUUCCAAACUAGAGAUGAAACGAACUGUGAUCUCUCAGGCUGUGAUCUGCAGGAAGCGAAUCUGCGUGGCUCAAAUGUGAAAGGUGCCAUCUUUGAGGAGAUGCUGACUCCACUGCACAUGUCCCAAAGUGUGAGAUAACCAAUUACAUUUCUCUGUGCCAGGCAACCUCACCAGCCAGCUAUUCACAGCUCUCCCUCACCCCGACCCCCUUUCUGUUUCACGCUCCCGUGGAACCGUAUGCAAUACUAGCACUUGGUUUUCCCACCCCUACUCUUUGAGCUUUACUCUCACGCACUAGUGCACAUCCAGGGUCUGUAGUCAUGGCCAACAUAGCGAAAGCUUAUCGUAGAGAUUCCAAAUAUUUAACAAAGUCGUUUUGCUUUCGAUUUUGUUUUUAUUUAUGCUUUGUGUUGAACUAUUGUUCAAUUUUACCGAAUGUAUUCGUUUCAUUUUGUGUUUUGUCUCAAAUAAUGAAGUCAACAUUUCAAUCAAUCAGUACAACCAAAUAUAUCUAUCGAAUUUUAGAUUUAUGAUAAGGCUUAUUGUUGCACAGCUUACUGCAGGCAAAAUUCAUAAUAGUAGCCUUUUGUAUAUAAAAUAUGGAAUAAUAUAUCUUAAACAUCUCAUAUAACUGACAGUUCUGGUUUCAAAUAUGCAACAAAAACAUACAGCUCUUACAAAUUCUAUUUUCACAUUUACAUGUAAACAAAAUGAUUUGCUUAUUUUGGUUUUCGGUUUGCCAUUUGUUGAUCUACCUCCCAUACAACCCGUUCUAGUUUUUAGUCAUUUUUAGUUUUUGAAUCCAUGCAGUCAUGCAAAGACUUCAACCAAAUGGAAACCACAUUUUGCUGCGUUCUUGCAAAACCUAUUCAAUCUUUGAUAACUGUGUAAUAACAUUUAGCCAUAGGUUAAUAUGCACAAUAAUUAACCUGUGGUGCCAAUAUAUGCUGGUUUAUCAUAUCACUAUAUAAUAUGUGGAAAUGUUAUGCUUUUCACUUUUCAGUGUUCUUAUUUUCCCCAUUUUUUAAUUUGAUUUUUAAUUGAUGAAGUGAAAUGUUGAAGUGACCAACCCACACCAAAAAUUUUCAUGUGAUGUUUCUCGGGUCAUUAUCAAAUCCAGUUCUUCCUUAAUGUUUAUCAUAAUAUAACAUUUGUUCAUCAAUACUGUCCCACGUUUUGUUAACAUAUGAAGCACUAAACUAGAACUUGACUUUGUGCGUUCGUGCCCAAAAAUUGUGUGUAAUAAGACUGAAAAAGUAGCACAUUUAUAAAAUGCAGCUUAGGUCUUAGUGCUGCUCAACUAUUCCUAGAUUAUUUGCUGCAUGGUUAAAAAAUGAAAACUUCAAACCAUCUCUGUCAGAGAGUUGUUUUUUUUUUUUUUUUUUGGUUGUAAAACAUGCUGUUGUUUUUCAUUUACAAAUGUUAUUGUUGGUACUCCGUCAAUCCUGUUAAAUGAAGGCAAUCAAAAUAGACUUUUGCACUUUAAGUGUGAUUCUCUAUGUAUAUCAGACCCUUGUGGAAAGGGUGCAAGCUAUUUAUUUAUGUAUCAGGCUGUAUUUAUGUAAGUGGUGGAGGGGAGGAUCUACCGGUUCCCUCUUUACCGAACUCUGUUGCACUCUAUUACGGAAAUGUGUUUCCAUAAAUAGACUGUUAUAAUCAAA